rnacentral:rRNA from 1 species
CAAAGGAAUUGACGGGGGCCCGCACAAGCGGCGGAGCAUGUGGAUUAAUUCGAUGCAACGCGAAGAACCUUACCUGGGCUUGACAUACACCGGAUCGGGCUAGAGAUAGUCUUUUCCCUUUGUGGCUGGUGUACAGGUGGUGCAUGGUUGUCGUCAGCUCGUGUCGUGAGAUGUUGGGUUAAGUCCCGCAACGAGCGCAACCCUUGUCUUAUGUUGCCAGCAUUUGGUUGGGAACUCAUGAGAGACUGCCGGGGUCAACUCGGAGGAAGGUGGGGAUGACGUCAAAUCAUCAUGCCCCUUAUGUCCAGGGCUUCACACAUGCUACAAUGGUCGGUACAACGCGCAGCGACACUGUGAGGUGGAGCGAAUCGCUGAAAGCCGGCCUUAGUUCGGAUUGGGGUCUGCAACUCGACCCCAUGAAGUCGGAGUCGCUAGUAAUCGCAGAUCAGCAAUGCUGCGGUGGAUACGUUCCCGGGCCUUGUACACACCGCCCGUCACGUCAUGAAAGUUGGUAACACCCGAAGCCGGUGGCCCAAACUUGUUAGGGAGCCGUCGAAGGUGGGAUCGGCGAUUGGGACGAAGUCGUAACAAGGUAACCGUA